rnacentral:lncRNA from 1 species
GGAUCACUUUGCAUGGAUGAAAAAUUAAAACUACAGUGGAGACCCUGAAUCAUCCCUCCUGGAAACCACAGGAGAGUUGGGAAUGAGAGGUUGGGAAGUGUCGUGAUGCUGCCCAAGAGCUUCUAAAAGUGCUACGGAGACAACCUGUCAGUGGAGAUCCAAGCUGUCCUCUGAAUUGACGAUAAAGAUGGAUGGCAAACAGCCCUACCCUGAGAACAUGUUGGGGUUACUACGCUUCAUACGCAACCUCCAUGAGCACUAUGCUGAGGAUUUAGAAUUGGUUGACCUAAUGAAGAUGCUCCCUGAUCUCUUUGGAUGUGUCUACAUGUUGGCCAAGAAAAAGGGCUGGAAUUCAAGGCCUGGGCUGAAAAACGUAUUUCAGAAAGAUCUAAGCUCAUGGUUCUGAAAUGUAAAUUGUCAUGUGAAGUGAUGCAAUAUGACCUAUUGUAGUACUUUUGACUUUUGUAGGUAGAGCCACUGAUCUUAACUGUUUUAAGAACAUUUUAUAUUCUAUAUCUUCACAGAUCUAAACCAUAUGAUUUUUACGAAUCUUACAUGGUUAUAGCCUACAUAUUAUGGUUGUUCAUAUGAAAAUACAGUACACACAAAGCUUUGAUAAAAAUUAGUGGUUACUUUUUUACUUCAGUUAAGGUAUACAGGAUUUGUAUUAAUAUAAAUAUCUGUAUGAGAUUUCAGGGAUGUCUGGAUCAAAGUAUUGACAUCCUAUUUUAUCUGUUUUGCUUGAUAUGAAGUCUGCCCAAGAGUACAUUGAAACAGGAUUGUAUUUCUUAAAUCUGUGAUCUAUCAAUGGAGGAGCUGUGAUGCUCUCGUGGAUAGAACUGUGACGGUUACAAAUGUAGUGUUGAUCAGCAACAGUUUUCUAUUAACCACCCUAAAAUGUUAAUGCACCUCUCAAAGAGCAAUAUAAAACUGCCAUUUUUUUGACACACCCAGACUUUCCCGCCCACCUGCAACAGCUGGUGUAGAGUAAACAAACUAGUAUGCAGUAGGAACAAAACAUUGUCCUCUUUCUGGUAUAAAGCCACACAUCCAGCACCAGAUCAACCACAAUGAAAAGCCGACCUCCGAGUCACCAGGAAUUCUGACAGAGGGUAGUAGAACUACUGUCACCUGUGAUGCCAGGUGGUCGCUUAGCCCACCCGGUUAGAUGGAAAUCAUACCAAUCACACCAUUCAGGUGACUGUGAUUGACAUGCUGUGUUAAAUGUAACUGCAUGUUUUAUUGUUAUUUUUGGGUUAAAGGAAGCAUUCUGUACAUUUCUGUUGAAUUGUUAGAUGUAAUAUAUAGGCCAUUCUUGCGUGUCAUUUACCAUUUAUGUGACGGUGAGGAGAACCUGACGUGAGCCUGGUAUACCCCAACCUGAGUCUAAUGGAAUCGACAGGUUCGCUUCAAGUAUUGUAUUAUCAUUGACCUGUUAGGGUGUUUGUAAAUAUAAAUUUAGAUUAUUUUGUAAAUAUUGUCAUUUGAACAUCUAAAUUGUCAUUUUUUUUUAAAUAAAUAACUUCUGCACGUGAUCCUGCCUGCCUCCUGCACCAUUUAACCGUCCAAAAAUAGAUUUAGCAACAAAGGAUUUAGGGCCUACAUUCAACAUGCAAGAAGCGAUAAGUUAGGCUUACAUCUUAGAUGGAAGGGCAUAGUACAAAAUGAAUAGCAUGCAUUUCAAUCUACAGUUUGGUUUAAAAAGCUGUGGCUAAAAAUAAUUGUAUCCAUUAGUGUACAUUGUCUAAAACAAACCAAAGAAGGGGUUACAACUUCGGAGUCAUUUCCGGUCACUGCCGCUGGACCAGAUGCAAUGUGGAACAGGGAGUUGUAGUUCUUCACAGAAAGCGUAGGUGUAUUCGAACCAUUGUAGUUCCUAAGCACUGACAUUUAAACGUUUUUGUUCUGGAAUCACAAUCAUGAAGCACCCCUUAAAUGUAUUGUCUCUACCUUCUUGCCCUUUGUGCUGUUGUCUGUGCCCAAUAAUGUUUGCACCAUGUUAUGUUCUGUUGCUACCAUGCUGUGUUAUGUGUUGCUGCCUUGCUAUGUGGUCUUAGGUCUCUCACAACAAGUGUUGUGUUGUCUCGUUGUGAUGUGUUUUGUCCUAUAUUUAUGUUAUUUAUUUAAAAUGUUUAAUCCCCGUCCCCGCAUGAGGUAUUUUGCCUUUUGGUAGGCCAUCAUUGUAAAUAAGAACUGUAAAACUGACUUGCCUAGUAAAUAAAGGUUAAAUAAAAUAAAUAAAAAUUAAACAUGACAAUGUUCUCACUACAAUUUCGAACUUAAAGUGGUGAACUUUUUAAUAAAUAGGCCUAUAGGCUUUUAGCUAGGGUUGAAUAUACUCAACAGUAAACUUUGGAAACAGCUUGAUUGUACUACUAGACACCGUUUACCCCUUUUUCUCCGCACUUGGUAGUUACAGUCUUGACCCAUCACUGCAACUCCCGUACGGACUCGGGAGAGGUGAAGGUCGAGAGCCAUGCGUCUUCCGAAACAUGACCCUUCCGAAACAUGACCCGAGCCGCACU